UACUCGAGUGGCGAACGGGUGAGUAACACGUGGGUGAUCUGCCCAGCACUCUGGGAUAAGCCUGGGAAACUGGGUCUAAUACCGGAUAGGACCAUGCUUUAGUGUGUGUGGUGGAAAGUUUUUUCGGUGUAGGAUGAGCCCGCGGCCUAUCAGCUUGUUGGUGGGGUAAUGGCCUACCAAGGCGGCGACGGGUAGCCGGACUGAGAGGUUGGUCGGCCACAUUGGGACUGAGAUACGGCCCAG
rnacentral:rRNA from 1 species